UCCGUAGGUGAACCUGCGGAAGGAUCAUUGACACACUAGAAAAUUAUAUACACUUUUAUGAAAAUGUUUUGUCUAUUAUUGUUUUAAACCAACCUUUAUUUUAAAUCAUUCUUAAUUCAAAGUGAUUCAUUAUCACUUUCAAUAAAAUCAACCUAGUUAUAACUGUUAACAACGGAUAUCUAGGCUCUUACAACGAUGAAGAACGCAGCAAAAUGCGAUACGUAAUGUGAAUUGCAGAUUUCAGUGAAUCAUCCAAUCUUUGAACGCAACUUGCGCUUAAAAUCAAUCAUUUUAAGCACACUUGUUUGAGUGUCGGUUUAUAACACACUUCUUAGUGUUUGAGUUUCAACCUGUAUUGGUCGUUACUUUAAAACUAUGCUAUGAUAUUUGAUUAUCUUUCACUUCUUAGUAUUUCUUUGAUCUGUAAUAGAUAACUCUUUUAUCAUUCAUUCCUCUCAAUUUCUCGACCUCAAAUCAAGUGAGAUUACCGGCUGAACUUAA
rnacentral:rRNA from 1 species